AGAGGCCCACCUAGCCGACGAUGGGUAGCCGGACUGAGAGGUCGACCGGCCACAUUGGGACUGAGAUACGGCCCAGACUCCUACGGGAGGCAGCAGUGGGGAAUUUUGCGCAAUGGGGGAAACCCUGACGCAGCAACGCCGCGUGCGGGACGAAGGCCCUCGGGCUGUAAACCGCUUUCAGCAGGGAAGACAUCGACGGUACCUGCAGAAGAAGCUCCGGCUAACUACGUGCCAGCAGCCGCGGUAAUACGUAGGGGGCGAGCGUUAUCCGGAUUCAUUGGGCGUAAAGCGCGCGUAGGCGGCCGCCUAAGCGGAACCUCUAACCCCGGGGCUCAACCUCGGGCCGGGUUCCGGACUGGGCGGCUCGAGUGCGGUAGAGGAGAGCGGAAUUCCCGGUGUAGCGGUGGAAUGCGCAGAUAUCGGGAAGAACACCGAUGGCGAAGGCAGCUCUCUGGGCCGUCACUGACGCUGAGGCGCGAAAGCUGGGGGAGCGAACAGGAUUAGAUACCCUGGUAGUCCCAGCCGUAAACGAUGGACGCUAGGUGUGGGGGGACCUGCCCUCCGUGCCGCAGCCAACGCAUUAAGCGUCCCGCCUGGGGAGUACGGCCGCAAGGCUAAAACUCAAAGGAAUUGACGGGGGCCCGCACAAGCAGCGGAGCAUGUGGCUUAAUUCGAAGCAACGCGAAGAACCUUACCAGGGCUUGACAUGCGAGUGAAGCCGGGGAGACCCGGUGGCCGAGAGGAGCUCGCGCAGGUGGUGCAUGGCUGUCGUCAGCUCGUGUCGUGAGAUGUUGGGUUAAGUCCCGCAACGAGCGCAACCCCCGUCCCGCGUUGCCAGCAUUAGGUUGGGGACUCGCGGGAGACUGCCGGCGUCAAGCCGGAGGAGGGUGGGGACGACGUCAAGUCAUCAUGCCCCUUAUGCCCUGGGCUGCACACGUGCUACAAUGGCCGGUACAGAGGGUUGCCACCCCGCGAGGGGGAGCGGAUCCCGGAAAGCCGGCCCCAGUUCGGAUCGCAGGCUGCAACCCGCCUGCGUGAAGCCGGAGUUGCUAGUAAUCGCGGAUCAGCACGCCGCGGUGAAUACGUUCCCGGGCCUUGUACACACCGCCCGUCACACCACCCGAGUCGUCUGCACCCGAAGCCGCCGGCCGAACCCUCGCGGGGCGGAGGCGUCGAAGGUGUGGAGGGUAAGGGGGGUGAAGUCGUAACAAGGUAGCCGUACCGGAAGGUGCGGCUG
rnacentral:rRNA from 1 species